CCCGGCAGUCGCGCUUGAAACUUCGACGUUUUUCUUGUUCAAUAUUCUCCAUCCUUGUGAGAUCGAAUAAAGUAUUUGCCCGACCAGACUGCUCGCGACAAACGCAGGCAGGCUCCGAACUAUACAAACAUUUUAGUGAGCAAAUGAAAGAAGCUGGAAAUACACCAACCCGCGUGACGAUAUGGCGAUAUUGCCCCGGGGGCAAAUUCUGCUCGUCUUCACAUUAUUGAUGGGCGACCCGGCAUGGGAAAAGUUGGACUGGAAAACAUACGGACGAGGAGCGGCCUUCGGGAUGAGCAAAAAAUCGAAACGGAAAACAAGGCGGAAACCUGACUAACCAUCAAAAGCCUGAUGAACGGGAGUGAUUGGUGGUUAACACUGCCGAUACUUCGAUCAUGCAAGACAAUCUCCGAUUUAAGAUAUUUACCGACGACAGAGAGGCAGGGGCUUCAGGGAUGAAAACGAAGGCAGAUUUGUCAAGGGUGAGAGGUCGUGAGGAUUUGCUCUCCUGGUUUGGUGAAUGAAAAAAGGGACUUGUAAUUUAAAUUUUAUAGAAACAAAGUAUUAUGGGAAGGAUUGGGGGUGAUUAGGAGAGCAUGGGGUUACACACACAUUGUUAUGAGGAUCUGAAUGGCAUAACAUCGGCAUUCUCAAAUCUAAUCACAUCGCCGAAAGAACAGAAACAAGUUACUUGUCUUCAGCCAACAUGUUACAAGGAGUCAAAUAUUCUGAAAGACAAAUAAAUCAGUACAGUUGCAAGCCGAUAUAUUUAGAUAUAUAAUCACUUCAAUUACUAAAAGCGACAAAACAAUUUCCUUACCAAUAAGAAGUAUCUGCUAAAAUUGUACAAUUUUGACGAUAUCAUUAUAUGUGUUUAUAAAUCCAAUUCCUAUACAAUAAUAAAAUGUUGUAUCUGUGUAAUA